GCCGGGCAUGGUGGUGCGUGCCUGUAAUCCCAGCUACUUGGGAGGCUGAGACAGGAGAAUUGCUUGAACCCAGGAGGCGGAGGUUGCAGUGAGCUGAGAUCAUGCCAUUGCACUCCAGCCUGGGUGACAGAGCGAGACUCCAUCUCAA
rnacentral:SRP_RNA from 1 species